GGCAGCACGGGGGCAACCCUGGUGGCGAGUGGCGAACGGGUGAGUAAUAUAUCGGAACGUGCCCAGUCGUGGGGGAUAACGUAGCGAAAGUUACGCUAAUACCGCAUACGAUCUACGGAUGAAAGCGGGGGAUCGCAAGACCUCGCGCGAUUGGAGCGGCCGAUAUCAGAUUAGGUAGUUGGUGGGGUAAAGGCUCACCAAGCCAACGAUCUGUAGCUGGUCUGAGAGGACGACCAGCCACACUGGGACUAAGGCACGGCCCAGACUCCUACGGGAGGCAGCAGUGGGGAAUUUUGGACAAUGGACGCAAGUCUGAUCCAGCCAUUCCGCGUGCAGGACGAAGGCCUUCGGGUUGUAAACUGCUUUUGUACGGAACGAAAAAGCCUUGGCUAAUACCCAGGGUCCAUGACGGUACCGUAAGAAUAAGCACCGGCUAACUACGUGCCAGCAGCCGCGGUAAUACGUAGGGUGCGAGCGUUAAUCGGAAUUACUGGGCGUAAAGCGUGCGCAGGCGGUUAUAUAAGACAGAUGUGAAAUCCCCGGGCUCAACCUGGGAACUGCAUUUGUGACUGUAUAGCUAGAGUGCGGCAGAGGGGGAUGGAAUUCCGCGUGUAGCAGUGAAAUGCGUAGAUAUGCGGAGGAACACCGAUGGCGAAGGCAAUCCCCUGGGCCUGCACUGACGCUCAUGCACGAAAGCGUGGGGAGCAAACAGGAUUAGAUACCCUGGUAGUCCACGCCCUAAACGAUGUCAACUGGUUGUUGGGUCUUCACUGACUCAGUAACGAAGCUAACGCGUGAAGUUGACCGCCUGGGGAGUACGGCCGCAAGGUUGAAACU
rnacentral:rRNA from 1 species